UACGGGAGGCAGCAGUGGGGAAUUUUCCGCAAUGGGCGAAAGCCUGACGGAGCAAUGCCGCGUGGAGGUGGAAGGCCUACGGGUCGUCAACUUCUUUUCUCGGAGAAGAAACAAUGACGGUAUCUGAGGAAUAAGCAUCGGCUAACUCUGUGCCAGCAGCCGCGGUAAU
rnacentral:rRNA from 1 species